rnacentral:rRNA from 1 species
CCUACGGGAGGCAGCAGUGGGGAAUAUUGCACAAUGGGGGAAACCCUGAUGCAGCGACGCCGCGUGAGUGAAGAAGUCAUUCGUUAUGUAAAGCUCUAUCAGCAGGGAAGAAAAUGGCGGUACCUGAGUCAGAAGCCCCGGCUAACUACGUGCCAGCAGCCGCGGUAAUACGUAGGGGGCCAGCGUUAUCCGGAUUUACUGGGUGUAAAGGGAGCGUAGACGGCAGUGCAAGUCUGGAGUGAAAGGCGGGGGCUCAACCCCAGGACUGCUCUGGAAACUGUACGGCUGGAGUGCAGGAGAGGUAAGUGGAAUUCCUAGUGUAGCGGUGAAAUGCGUAGAUAUUAGGAGGAACACCAGUGGCGAAGGCGGCUUACUGGACUGUAACUGACGUUGAGGCUCGAAAGCGUGGGGAGCAAACAGGAUUAGAUACCCCUGUAGUC